ACCCAGUUGAGGAGUCCCGAAUAGGACGAAAUGCCCAUCCUGGAU
rnacentral:hammerhead_ribozyme from 1 species